rnacentral:rRNA from 1 species
UUACAAUGCGCGAAAGCGUGAUAAGGUUACCCGGAGUGCUAGGAGAUAUACUUCUAGCUGUUAUAGUGUGUAAAUAACCCUAUGAGAAAGGAGAGGGCAAGGCUGGUGCCAGCCGCCGCGGUAAAACCAGCUCUUCAAGUGGUCGGAAACAUUAUUGGGCUUAAAGUGUCCGUAGCCGGUUUGGUAAGUUCCUGGUUAAAUCUGGCAGCUUAACUGUCAGUCUGCUAGGAAUACUAUCUUACUAGAGGGCGGGAAAGGUCUGAGGUACUCCAGGGGUAGCGGUGAAAUGCGAUAAUCCUUGGGGGACCACCAGUGGCGAAGGCGUCAGACUGGAACGCGCCUGACGGUGAGGGACGAAAGCCAGGGGAGCGAACGGG